rnacentral:rRNA from 1 species
UACGGAAGGCAGCAGUGGGGAAUAUUGCACAAUGGGCGCAAGCCUGAUGCAGCCAUGCCGCGUGUAUGAAGAAGGCCUUCGGGUUGUAAAGUACUUUCAGUCGUGAGGAAGGUGUUAAGGUUAAUAACCUUAGCAAUUGACGUUAGCGACAGAAGAAGCACCGGCUAACUCCGUGCCAGCAGCCGCGGUAAUACGGAGGGUGCGAGCGUUAAUCGGAAUUACUGGGCGUAAAGGGCACGCAGGCGGUUAAUUAAGUUGGAUGUGAAAUCCCCGGGCUUAACCUGGGAAUGGCAUUCAAGACUGGUUAGCUAGAGUCUUGUAGAGGGGGUAGAAUUCCGAUGUGUAGCGGUGAAAUGCGUAGAGAUGUGGAGGAAUACCGGUGGCGAAGGCGGCCCCUGGGACAAAGACUGACGCUCAUGUGCGAAAGCGUGGGGAGCAAACGAGGGAUUAGAUACC